UACGUAGGGGGCAAGCGUUGUCCGGAAUUAUUGGGCGUAAAGAGCGCGUAGGCGGUCCGAUAAGUCGGCUGUGAAAGUCAGGGGCUCAACCCUUGGAAGCCGGCCGAUACUGUCGGACUAGAGUCCGGAAGAGGCGAGUGGAAUUCCCGGUGUAGCGGUGAAAUGCGCAGAUAUCGGGAGGAACACCAAUGGCGAAGGCAGCUCGCUGGGCUCUUGCUGACACUGAGGCGCGACAGCGUGGGGAGCAAACAGG
rnacentral:rRNA from 1 species